AACGUAGGUGGCGAGCGUUAUCCGGAUUUACUGGGCGUAAAGGGUGUGCAGGCGGGCUGUUAAGUGGUGUAUGAAGUAUCCCGGCUCAACCGGGAGAGGUUAUGCCAGACUGGCAGUCUAGAGAGCGAGAGAGGGACGUGGAAUUCCGGGUGUAGUGGUGAAAUGCGUAGAGAUCCGGAGGAACCCCAGAGGCGAAGGCGGCGUCCUGGCUCGCAUCUGACGCUCAGACACGACAGCAUGGGGAGCGAACGGG
rnacentral:rRNA from 1 species